rnacentral:rRNA from 1 species
UGGGGAAUUUUGGACAAUGGACGCAAGUCUGAUCCAGCCAUGCCGCGUGCGGGAAGAAGGCCUUCGGGUUGUAAACCGCUUUUGUCAGGGAAGAAACGAGUUCCUCUAAUACAGAGACUUAAUGACGGUACCUGAAGAAUAAGCACCGGCUAACUACGUGCCAGCAGCCGCGGUAAUACGUAGGGUGCAAGCGUUAAUCGGAAUUACUGGGCGUAAAGCGUGCGCAGGCGGUUAUGCAAGACAGAUGUGAAAUCCCCGGGCUCAACCUGGGACCUGCAUUUGUGACUGUAUAGCUAGAGUACGGUAGAGGGGGAUGGAAUUCCGCGUGUAGCAGUGAAAUGCGUAGAUAUGCGGAGGAACACCGAUGGCGAAGGCAAUCCCCUGGACCUGUACUGACGCUCAUGCACGAAAGCGUGGGGAGCAAACA